UACGUAGGGUGCAAGCGUUGUCCGGAAUUAUUGGGCGUAAAGAGCUCGUAGGCGGUUCGUCGCGUCGGCUGUGAAAACCCGGAGCUCAACUCCGGGCCUGCAGUCGAUACGGGCGGACUUGAGUGUUGCAGGGGAGACUGGAAUUCCUGGUGUAGCGGUGAAAUGCGCAGAUAUCAGGAGGAACACCGGUGGCGAAGGCGGGUCUCUGGGCAACUACUGACGCUGGAGGAGCGAAAGCGUGGGGAGCGAACAGG
rnacentral:rRNA from 1 species